UGCUGUGGAUCCUUCUGUUCUAUGACAGAUUUUGGUGAACCAGGUUCAGUGCAUCUUUAUCAACUUCUGGUGAUGCUUUUCUCCUUCAGCCUGCGAAGGCUUGAAGCAGCAGUGAACAUCCAUGGGCUGAAAACUACAACCUGGAGAUGGGCUAUUGACUGGGAAGGGGCUGCUGUCCACUAUGGACAUCUCAUUGAAAACCCUCAUGGAGAUGGAGGGGGAGGUGGAAGUGGAGAUGGAGGGGGAGAUGGAGAUGGAGGUGGAGAUGGAGGGGGAGAUGGAGAUGGAGGGGGAGAUGGAGAUGGAGAUGGAGGGGGAGAUGGAGAUGGAGGGGGAGGUGGAGAUGGAGAUGGAGGGGGAGAUG
ensembl:lncRNA